GGAAUGGUGGCGUCAUCUCGCUGAGCCCUAGUUGCUGCGGGAGCGCGAGUUGCCAUGGCAACUCGCCCUCUCGCCGACACGUGCAGACUCGCGGUUGCCACUCUCUGUUCAAAGUUGGAGCUGGAAUACAGGAACCAAGAUUUAGAGCUUCAGCUCCUUGCUUUCCUGUGACAUCUGUGUCUUUGAUGCAUGCUGAAAUUCUUUCCUAUCACCUAUGUCAAGAACUCCACUCAUGGGGCUGGGCUGUAGCUCAGUGGAGAGUGUCUACAAGGCACAUACUCAGACUUGCCGAAACACGGGUAUCAGCAUGUUGGAGAUUCGGUUUUCAAACAGCUCCAACUGGCUCCCCACAGUGAUUGUACUACUCCGCCGAAAAAACACUCACCCAUACAAGUAAUAUGUAAUAAAAUAUGAGUAUA